ACCUGUGAUUUAUAUCCUGCCCACUUCAUUAAAAAAAAAAAAAAAAAAAAAUGGAAGUUUCCAGGCCAGGGAUCAAACCCAUGCCAGAGCAGCAACUCAAGCUACUUCAGUGACAAAAAUGGUUCCUUAGGAGUUCCCUUUGUGGCUCAGUGGUUGAUGAAUCCGACUAGGAACGAUGAGGUUGUGGGUUCAACCCUGGCCUUGCUCAGUGGGUUAAGGAUCGGGCGUUGCUGUGAACUGUGGUGUAGGUCACAGACUCGGAUGGGAUCCCACAGCAACUCAGGAUCCGAGCCGCGUCUGCAACCUACACCACAGCUCACGGCAACGCCGGAUCGUUAACCUACUGGGCAAGGGCAGGGACUGAACCCGAAACCUCAUGGUUCCUAGGUGGAUUCAUUAACCACUGCGCUACGACAGGAACUCCAAAGAUGGUCUGUCUUUUUUAAUCAACAGUUUUACUGGAUGUGUCUAGGUGUGGAUCUUUUUGUGUUUAUCCUACUUUGGAUUCAGUACACUUAAAUGUAUAGAUUGAUAUUUUUUAACCAUUUGUUAAGUUUUGACUGAUUUCUUCACAUUAUCUUUUAUGUCCUUUUCUCUCCUUUUCUUCUGGGACUGUCAUUACAUGUAUAUUGGCAUGCUUGAUGCUGUAUAAAAGUCUGAGGCUCUGUUUAUCUAAAUUUUUAAAAAAAAUUUCUUCAUAACUGGUAAUUUCUAUUGAUACUUUUCAAGUGCAUUGUCUCUUCUGUCAUCUCUAGUCUGCUUUUGAACUCUGUUAAUGAAUUUAAAAUUUUGGCUCUUAAUGUUUUUCAACUCUAGAAUUGUUUUACUUUUCGACUCCAAGAUUUCCAUUUUAUUCUUUUAAAAAGUAGUAUUAGUAUCUUUAUUCAGAUUGCCUAUUUGAGGAGUUAUAGUUGUGAUUCUUUAAAAAUAGUUUCUUCAAGAUAAACUUAAAUUUUAGCUAGAGGAUGAUAUUUAAACUAUCUUAAAAAUGGAAUUUAUUUCUAAAUUAUAGUUAAUAUUUUCCUCUGUAUUUUGAUAUUCAGGAAAGUGUAUUACUCAUAAAUGCUGUAUUUCAUCUGAUAGUUUCUUUUUAAACAUAGUUAGCAAUUUACUUUUGAUUACUAGUUGGGAUCAGCGUACAAUUUGAAAGAUGUGCCAUUAAUUCUGAAACUGGUUCAUUCUCUGAACUGAUUAUGCAGUGUUAAGUCUACUUGUUUGUCCGUAUUACUUGCUGCUUCUCUCACAGUAGGUGCUGAUGGGUAGGAAAAAAAAAAAAGACACUUAUGAGCAAUAUAAUGUGUUAGAAUGGUUACAAAAUAUCAAAAUCUUCAUAUGAGCCUACACAUUUAGUAGUAUAGUAUUUAUUCAUUUUAGGACCUUGAGAGAUUGCAGUAAAUAAGACAAAUGUAAUACUUGUUCUCAUGGAACCUUACAUUCUGUUAAAGGAGAAGUAUAUUAAACAUAUAAACAAGAUAAUUUUAGAGAAUGCUAAAUAUAAUGAACAAAUAAAAUAGGGUAAUAUGAUUUCAAAUAGAGAAUGAUGGGGGAGCUACCCGGAAAUGUGAUAUAAUUUGGGUGAGGGGAGCCAUGAAGGAAAUGUCUCUCUGAAGGGGUGGUGUUUUAGGUUAGAUCUACGUAAUGGUUUGAGGAGGAUUCAGUCUGUUGAUGAUUUGGAAAAGCUGUGUAGCCUAAAGAACAGGAGGUGAAAAAUAAGCUUGGUGUAUUGUAGGAAUAGGGCCAGUGUGGCUGGAACUCAGCAAGACAGUGAGAAAGAGAAAUAAGGGAUGAAUGAGAUCAAAGAGGAGGGGUGGGCUAGCCCUGGCUUGAUCUUAACCUUCUAAGCCGCAAUAGGAACUCCCUGGAUUUUUUUUUUCAAGUGUGAUGACCAAACACUGGAAAAGUAUUUUGGUGACCUUCAUUCUUGACUUAAGAGUUUAUAGCCUGUGGAGUUCCGUGAUGACCUAUUGGGUUAAGUAUCUGGCAUUUUCACUGCUGUGGCUCAGAUCAGUGCUGUGGCACAGAUUUGAUCCUUGGCCUGGAAACUUCUGCAUAACGUGGAUGUGGCAAAAAAAAAGUUAGUUUACAUCCCAGUAUAUAAUUUUAUUUUUAAACAGUUUUUAGUGUGAGUAAAUAUAUGUAGGAUUUUCUAGAAAGAGACGAGUUCCCAUUAUAGCUCAUCAGGUUAAGAACUCAACUAGUAUCCAUGAGGACACGGGUUCAAUCCCUGGCCUUGCUCAGUGGGCUCUGAGCUGUGGUGUAGGUCACAGAUGCGGCUUGGAUCUGGUGUGGCUGUCGCUGUGGUGUAGGCCAGUAGCUGUAGCUCCCUUCAGGCCCUAAGCCUGCAAACUUCCAUAUGCCACAGUUGCAGCCCUAAAAAGCACAUGCACAGAAAAAAAAGAAUAGAAGAGAAAAUAACUUUUUCCUGAUGUUUCUUUUUUGAAAUUUAUCUAAAAAUACUUGCUUAGUGAUUAGAGUCCCAGGAACAAUGGAGAAGAUGAUAUUUAGUUUUUCAAAUAAAAUAAGCAUGCAUUUGUUCAUCUAUUCAUUGUACAUUCUAUAACCCUCAUAAGUGCUUGUGUUCCAGGGCCUACAGAGGAAGCUGUAAACCUUGGUUUAAUUAGAUAAAGGGAGAUAGUCUUGUGAAUAGUUUAGGUGUCAAAGUGGGAGACUGGAUGCACUUUUCCCCCCAAUUGUUGCUGCAGGGUUCAUUUUAUUUAGCACUAUGAAAAAGUUUAGGGAGUUCCUGUCGUGGCGCAGUGGGUAAUGAAUCCGACUAGGAACCACAAGGUUGCGGGUUUGAUCCCUGGCAUUGCUCAGUGGGUUAAGGAUCUGGCGUUGCCGUGAGCUGUAGUGUAGGUUACAGACUCUGGCUUGGAUCCUGUGUUGCUGUGGCUAUGUCAUAGGCUGGCGGCUACAGCUCCGAUUGGACCCCUAGUCUGGGAACCUCCACAUGCCGCGGGAGCAGCCCUAGAAAAGACCAAAAAAAAAAAAAAAAAAAAAGAAAAGAAAAA
rnacentral:lncRNA from 1 species